rnacentral:rRNA from 1 species
AUUGAACGCUGGCGGCAGGCCUAACACAUGCAAGUCGAGCGGAUGAGGGGAGCUUGCUUCCUGAUUCAGCGGCGGACGGGUGAGUAAUGCUUAGGAAUAUGCCCGAUAGUGGGGGACAACGUUUCGAAAGGAACGCUAAUACCGCAUACGUCCUACGGGAGAAAGUGGGGGAUCGUCGGACCUGACGCUAAUGGAUGAGCCUAGGUCGGAUUAGCUAGUUGGUGGGGUAAAGGCUCACCAAGGCGACGAUCCGUAACUGGUCUGAGAGGAUGAUCAGUCACACUGGAACUGAGACACGGUCCAGACUCCUACGGGAGGCAGCAGUGGGGAAUAUUGGACAAUGGGCGAAAGCCUGAUCCAGCCAUGCCGCGUGUGUGAAGAAGGUCUUCGGAUUGUAAAGCACUUUAAGUUGGGAGGAAGGGCAGUCAGUUAAUACCUUGCUGUCUUGACGUUACCAACAGAAUAAGCACCGGCUAACUUCGUGCCAGCCGCCGCGGUAA